GACAGAGGGGGCCAGCGUUGUCCGGAAUCACUGGGCGUAAAGCGCACGCAGGCGGCCGCGCGCGUGGGGUGUGACAAUCGACCGCUCAACGGUCGGAGGCCAUCUCAUACGGCGCAGCUCGAGCCGUCCAGAGGUCAGUGGAAUUGCCGGUGUAGGAGUGAUAUCCGUAGAGACCGGCAGGAACACCCAUGGGGAAGCCAGCUGACUGGGGACCGGCUGACGCUCAGGUGCGACAGCGUGGGGAGCGAACCGG
rnacentral:rRNA from 1 species